GCUCACUCUACCAAUAUAAGCCGCCCUGUUUUAUGCUACGAAACGUGCAUGCAGGCAGAAAUUCAACCGUGCAGUUUUAUUGGGAUAAAGCUAUAAACAGAAGGACACUCUGCUAGCUGCUAGGCUAAUGUACAAUGGUAAACACCGCAGCUGUAAUGUUAUAGGUCCCAUGGCAUGAAUAUUCCACU